rnacentral:rRNA from 1 species
GACGAACGCUGGCGGCGUGCCUAAUACAUGCAAGUCGAGCGAGCUGAAUUCACAGAUUCCUUCGGGAUGACGUGCUGGGCGCUAGCGGCGGAUGGGUGAGUAACACGUGGGCAAUCUGCCCUAAAGACUGGGAUACCACUUGGAAACAGGUGCUAAUACCGGAUAACAAUGAUGGUUGCAUGACCAUUAUUUGAAAGGCGGCGUAAGCUGUCACUUUAGGAUGAGCCCGCGGUGCAUUAGCUAGUUGGUGAGGUAACGGCUCACCAAGGCGAUGAUGCAUAGCCGAGUUGAGAGGCUGAUCGGCCACAUUUGGGGACUGAGACACGGGCCCAAAACUCCUACGGGAGGCAGCAGUAGGGAAUCUUCCACAAUGGACGCAAGUCUGAUGGAGCAACGCCGCGUGAGUGAAGAAGGUUUUCGGAUCGU